rnacentral:sRNA from 1 species
GAAUGAGAGGUGUGAAUCUGGGGUGGAACCCAGGAACACUGAUUUCUGGAAAAGAGUUUGGAUGGUGGUAGUAAAGGGGAUAUGGCUGUGGCUCUUCCCUUUUUGCUCCAGGAAGUGGACAAAAUUAUCCUACAGAUGAUGCGAGUGGCUGAAUACCUGGAUUGGGAUGUGUCUGAGCUGAGGCCGAUUCUUCAGGAGAUGAUGAAAGAGAUUGACUAUGAUGGCAGUGGCUCUGUCUCUCAAGCUGAGUGGGUCCGGGCUGGGGCCACCACCGUGCCACUGCUAGUGCUGCUGGGUCUGGAGAUGACUCUGAAGGACGAUGGACAGCACAUGUGGAGGCCCAAGAGGUUCCCCAGACCAGUCUACUGCAAUCUGUGCGAGUCAAGCAUUGGUCUUGGCAAACAGGGACUGAGCUGUAACCUCUGUAAGUACACUGUUCACGACCAGUGUGCCAUGAAAGCCCUGCCUUGUGAAGUCAGCACCUAUGCCAAGUCUCGGAAGGACAUUGGUGUCCAAUCACAUGUGUGGGUGCGAGGAGGCUGUGAGUCCGGGCGCUGCGACCGCUGUCAGAAAAAGAUCCGGAUCUACCACAGUCUGACCGGGCUGCAUUGUGUAUGGUGCCACCUAGAGGUCAGUUUGGGAGCCAUCCCUUCUGGGUGCGUCUUAGGGCCCCGCAGAGCUGCCUUCUCCACGGGCCUCCGGCCACACCUCCUUUACAGGCACAGUUGCCCCUGCUCCCAAGGGCUCUUUCCAGCCCAGACUGCCAGGUUGAGAGGAGACAG